AGCCAGUGUGGCAUAACGGUUUGAGUGAUGGACUACAAGUUUGGAGACCAGGGUUUGAUUCCCUGCUUGGCUA